GGUAUCUUAUUUAUCUUUUUAAAAAAAGGUUAUAAAUUCAUUUAUCUUUGGUAAAUUUUAGAAACAUUCUUGUUUCUUAUUGCCCCAAUAAAACAACUUUAUUAAAUUGUAAAGAUCUAUAGGGUCUUAUCGUCUUUAAACUAUAUUAAUGCAUUCUUACAUUAAGUUAAAAUUUUAAAAUUUAUAAAGAUACAGCUUAUCCUUCAUUCAAUCGUUCAUACAAGUCUCCAAUUAAAAGACUAUUGAUUAUGCUACCUUUGCACGGUCAAAUUACCGCGGCCCUUAAAAAUUCAGGGGGCAGAUUAUAUUUUUAAUCGAUUUCUAAAAAAA
rnacentral:rRNA from 1 species